rnacentral:rRNA from 1 species
UACCAGCACCCCGAGUGGUCGGGACGAUUAUUGGGCCUAAAGCAUCCGUAGCCGGUCCUACAAGUCUUCCGUUAAAUCCACCUGCUUAACAGAUGGGCUGCGGAAGAUACUAUAGGGCUAGGAGGCGGGAGAGGCAAGCGGUACUCAGUGGGUAGGGGUAAAAUCCUCUGAUCCAUUGAAGACCACCAGUGGCGAAGGCGGCUUGCCAGAACGCGCUCGACGGUGAGGGAUA